rnacentral:rRNA from 1 species
GUACGUCGUACGAGUAGUAGUUUAGACGUCCGUGGCUACGAGACGACGCUGGCGGCGUGCUUAACACAUGCAAGUCGAACGGAGCACCCCUGAAGGAGUUUUCGGACAACGGAAGGGAAUGCUUAGUGGCGGACUGGUGAGUAACGCGUGAGGAACCUGCCUUUCAGAGGGGGACAACAGUUGGAAACGACUGCUAAUACCGCAUGAUGUAUCGGAAUCGCAUGGUACUGAUACCAAAGAUUUAUCGCUGAAAGAUGGCCUCGCGUCUGAUUAGCUAGUUGGUGAGGUAACGGCCCACCAAGGCGACGAUCAGUAGCCGGACUGAGAGGCUGACCGGCCACAUUGGGACUGAGAUACGGCCCAGACUCCUACGGGAGGCAGCAGUGGGGAAUAUUGGGCAAUGGACGCAAGUCUGACCCAGCAACGCCGCGUGAAGGAAGAAGGCUUUCGGGUUGUAAACUUCUUUUAAGGGGGAAGAGCAGAAGACGGUACCCCUUGAAUAAGCCACGGCUAACUACGUG